GAGAGAAGGUGAAGAGAGGUAAUUCAAAGAGAGAGAGAAUGUGCUAUUCACAAGGCUUUAAACAGGUUAGCCCCUCCUUCUGCUGGACACACCUCCCUUAGUCAAUCCCUUAGGAUGUAACAGAACCAGAGUGCCUCCUGGGGGAAGGGGGAUUGCAUUGGAAGGGAAUGGAGGAGGAGUUUAUCAACAAACCAACUGAUUUUGCCUGGUGAAAGGCCAUGUGCUUCACAGAGGACUCCAUUAUUGCCUAAGGGUAGAAUGGGGGCUUGAAUCCCUGUAUUAGAACACAAUAACACUUCAUUGGCAUACAGUUUGGCUGUUAAUCACAUCCCCCCACUUAUUACAUCCCUCCUAUUGGCAAUGAAGUGGAUGAGACACUUAGACUCUAUAAAACCCAUCAGAGAUAAGAGAGAGAGAUAAUGCAUCCUGUGUAUCUACUUAUGUGAAUGCACAACCCAUUGUCACAAUAGAGCUCUUUCCAUUUACAUAUCAUAUUGGAGAUGAUAUACUCUAACAAUCAAUGACUUCAAGUAACAACACAUACCAACCUGAUUAAAAAUGCAUACUAUAGAAAACACACAAUACAAUAAUAAAUGGGUGAAUUAAUACAUUUUCCAUGGCAGUACCCCAUGAUGAUUGGUUUCGGAAGUGAGUUUUUUUUUAUUUCUUCCACCAGGUAGUACUAGCCAUGUCAGUAAAUAAAUGUUCAGUUAGUUAAAGUUCUUGUUGUUGAUGAAAGAACUCAGCACAGGUUUGUUGAUCCUUCUGUGUCCAAACCUCCAUUAAAGUAUUGAUAGUUCUCUGAAUUUAACACCCUCAGACUGGAGUGUUGCAGUCAUACUAUAUAUAUCAAUUAUAUUUACAAAACCCAACCCAGUACCCACACCUCCCAGAACCGUACCCAAGACAACCCUCCUAUUCCUAGUUCUACUUCUUGUCACCCAUCUGACUAAAACCUUAUUAAUAGUGGAUGUGACCCUAGAACAGUUCUGAAAGUGUGAUGAAACUAGCCAAUCUGUUAGUCGAAUCAAUUGGAAAGUAACAUUCCUAACUAUAGGGGUAGGUCUCAGUGAACAUAUUUGGAAAUUACCACUAGAGACCACUCUAAUCUUCUGACACUCAGGUCUGCUCCCAUUAUCCAUUAGUGAAGGAGUUGUAUGAAUAUAGGUGAAAGGAGGAGUCAGGAUUGUAGGCUCUAUCUCUUCCUCUACAUUCAACAAGACCUUCAAUUCCCCACCCCUAUUGUGUCUUACUGUUCCCCAAUUUAUCCCCUUUAUGAUUAAUGUAUCCACUAUAAUUAGUGUUAUAUGAUACUCUCUAAGAUUGUUAUUAAUAUUAUAACUAGGGUUAGUAACAUUUCAUAACAUUUCAUUUCAUAUUAAUAUUUCCUCCCUCCAGAUCUACAACCAGUUUUCCCCAACCAGUUCAUAUUCAUUCCCAUUUUCCUCAACCAGUCCAUAUACAUUCCCAAUGUUCUUAAUUUCCCUUAUUGUCUUUUCCAAAAUCCCUUGAAAGAAUCACGUUGCUUUAGCCAAACAAUCUUGACCACCCACCCAAAAUUAAAUGUCACAUCUACAUAUGGAACUUGUAGAUUGUCACUGCUGUCCUCUGUUAAGUCUUUGGUAGAUCGAGCUGCAUUUGCAUAGAUACAGCUGUUGUUGCUUUGGCCUGUGACAAGCUGUUCCAUCACUUUCCAGGUGAGUUUUAGCAUGUUGAGUGACAUCCAUGUCUCGGUACUUUUGGAAAAAUCUGUAAGAGAUCAAGAAGGCGUAUCAGUUCUUAGCAGAUAACUCUGUACCUGGGGAACAAGCCCCUUUUUAUAAAUUACGUUGGACUACAUGGACUGACUUGUAUAGACCUCUGCAUUUUUACAAAUGUUUUGCCCAAUGUUUCUAGGAUUACAUAGGGCUCUUCCCAAUUUGCAUCCCAGGGAUAAUUUUGAUAAAAUGUUUAAUC